GGAAGUUAAACAUCGGGGGAUCUUUACAGCAACUGCAACAGAGACCUGACCCAGUACAACACAGAAAACCAGAGACAAUGGCAGCAACAGAGCUGGAGGAAAAAGAGCAUGGACCACAGCAGAAAAAUAAGAUCAAGGAAUUGUCAGAUCAAGUAGAGGAAGUGAAGGACAUCAUGAAGAAGAGUUUGGACCAGAUUCUGGAUCGAGAAGAAAGGCUCAAAACUUCCACCGUACAGCCGUGAAAGUAUCCCGCUCCUACUGGUGGAAGAACGUCAAGCUGAUCGUAGUCAUCGUUGUGGUCAUGCUCAUCAUUGUUCUCAUCAUCAUCCUGCUGGCCACUGGAGUCAUUCCUGUCAGUGCGCCUGUAGGUCCUGUAGUCACUCCAACCACCAAGCCCUGAACAGGAACACGCACACAAGAUGUACAAUGAGAUACAAUGAGGUCAUAAAAACAGUAUACUGAGUAUUAUAUUGACUCUAGCAAAUUACUUAUUGUUUCUGGUAAAUAUUUAAGGUUUCCUAGUUUCUUUAGGUUACUUUAUUGCAUUUGUUCCAAGCACUUUAAUGACACAUAAAUUCUUUAAAACAGUUUUAGUAAAACCAGGUAGAUUUGGUGAAUAUGUUUUCUUUUUUAUUUAUUUAUUUUUUUUGUUUUUUUACUGGAAGCCCCCCAGUUUCCAUCUCCAUCCAU